CAGCAGCCGCGGGAAUACGUAGGGUGCAAGCGUUAAUCGGAAUUACUGGGCGUAAAGCGUGCGCAGGCGGUCCGCUAAGACAGAUGUGAAAUCCCCGGGCUUAACCUGGGAACUGCAUUUGUGACUGGCGGGCUAGAGUAUGGCAGAGGGGGGUAGAAUUCCACGUGUAGCAGUGAAAUGCGUAGAGAUGUGGAGGAAUACCGAUGGCGAAGGCAGCCCCCUGGGCCAAUACUGACGCUCAUGCACGAAAGCGUGGGGAGCAAACAGGAUUAGAUACCCGCGUAGUCCCUGUCUCUUAUAC
rnacentral:rRNA from 1 species